UGAGCAGCGGCAGCAGCAUCUCUCUGACUCCAGACUCUCAGGGAACAAACCGGUGAUGCCCGCGGACGGAUUUGGACUCUGACGGGAGCUGGAGGACGGAUCGGGAUCGGGAGGCUAAUUAUUAAAGGAUGUCGUUGAUGCCGUGAUGCACGUGGAGGGAUCUAGUCGACGUGACAGUAGAAGAUGGAGAGCAGACCCCUGCAGACACGACGUUAGAGAGCCACUGAGAGGAACUGUGGAGAGAAACGGGCCAGGCCGAAGAGCGUGGGACCAAUGAUGGAUUUCUCAUGUGAUGAAACAGAAAAAGGCCCACCUGUACAGAUGCACAGCCUCCGAGAGUUUGAACAG